rnacentral:SRP_RNA from 1 species
GACCGGUACUGCGCAACGGAGGACUGUGAACCAUGUCAGGCGGGGAACCGAGCAGCAUUAAGCAGAAACCAUCGUGUGCCGCAGAGCUGCCGAUUUUG